rnacentral:tRNA from 1 species
UCUCCAGUAGCUCAAUGGUAGAGCGAUCGACUGUUAACCGAUAGGAUGUUGGUUCGAGCCCAAUCUGGGGAG